AAGUUUGAAGCAAACAAAAACCCAAUUAAAACCAUUAAUCCAUCAAUCAAAGCCCAUUGAAACGUUCUUGGGAAUUUCAAAGCCUAUGAGUAAUGGAAAGUUCAAGUAACCACAAAUAAUCACAUAGAUGUAAAAGCAUUAAAACAACUUAAACAUCCAUAUUCACAAAGCUGAUGCCUAAUUGAAAGGAAAAGGAAGUUUGAGGGGUUAAAUUGAUUAAUUUUCUCAAUUAUUUGGGCCACAGUGGAAUAAAGGGAGACUUAGGGGACAAAGUGUAAUUAUUAUGAUUCAUUUUUUUCAUGCAGACUUCAUACAAGCUACAGCUUAUCGGCAAACAGAUUUUUGUAACUGUAUUUCUGCUGCGAUUAUUUCCACAACUCUGGAAUCUUGACAGAUGCAAUUUCCUUUUCAUUUGAUCACCACCUAAACUUUCGACCCAACCAAAACUGGAAUCCUAGCAUUAUACACAUCUGGAAGCAGGAAUUUGGGAUGAACACAAACAUGGGUUACCAACCAUAUGCCAACGUGAACCACAGACUUAUUUCAAACAAUCCGAAAGCACCAGCAACAAAACAACAAAGGUAAGAGAUGAUUCCAGGCAAAGUCCUAAUUAUUCAAUCGCACGAAUGCAAGGACCUGGGACAGGGAAAUAGGGGACAUCCAACAAGUUUUUGGACACACAAAAUGCAAAAAAAUGGCUUGGUCAUCUGCUGAAACCUCGGCUCAGACUUUAGGAAAAUUAAUCAAACCAAACAUGGAUCAGAAAAAUGCGCAUAAAAAAUGAUUUCUAUCUCUGUUUUCCAUCAUGAAGGUUACAAGCGCAGCUUUGGACAACAAAAGGCAAGCAACAAAAGUCUCAAUUAGGCUCGGACUGAUCAUAACUCUCCUUGCAUUUGACAGGACUCGACACAAAACAAAAACAAAACCAAAACAGUUUGCUGCAAUUUUUCGUGCCAAACUUCCACUACUUCACCUUGACAGAUUUACAACCUCUCAAACCAAAACCCAACCUCCACUCUUCAAUGAAGUCUAAUGACCGAACAUAGGCAAGAUUAAACACAAUGCAGGCGAACAAGAAAUACAAACCAGCAAACAACUGUAAGCAUUAACAGCGACAACACUACCAAACAACAUACAAAUCAGCGCAAGACACAUUUCAGCCACGAAAGGUUAUGGAAAGGGCUAAGAAAUCAAUUUCAAUUGAUACCUGAGGGAGUCUUUGGAUCGAAAUCAAAGCAGGAGAGGAUGUGAGAGAGCCGCUGGGUUGUUCCGUCGCCCUUUCGUGUCCGCACCAGUGGAGUCACGCUGCUGAUUUGAGGACCAGAUUUAAGGGCUUUCCAAUUGUUUUCUGUGAACCGUUUCUGAACAAAAGUCCCUCCACUGACUUCAUAGUUUAUGCAGAAAUCAGAACCCAAUCAAUUCGAGCAACCAGAAAGGAGAUAACCAUGCCGUAAGAGGUGCCGAAAACCAGUCUAUUCUGCCGAAAAAUUUUUUUUUUUUUUUUUGCAGGAAGCCAUUUCUGGUUCUGAUUCCUCUUCCCCUCUCAGCCUUGCCCGACUUCCUUGUUUCUCACUCUCAGCUCCUAGCUCUCCCUGACUUUCUGGUUUCCUCCCUGAUAAACUCACGGCCCAUCUCCCUCUUUCUUCACAGCCUCCUUUUCUUUCUUUUGCCUCUCUUUCCUUUUUUGUCCUUCUCAGCCGUCAAUCCCCCUCUCCCGUAACUUCCCUUCACUCUCUUUUCGUUCCUCUAAUCACUACCCUCUUGCGGUUUCCAAUCUCUCCCCAAGCCCUCGGUUUUCCAGUCGUUCUCCUUGAUUCCUCCUCAGACUUCUAGCCGCUAUUUGCCUCAGCCUUCAGCUUCCUUAGCCGCUGUUUUUUUCUCUUCUUCUUGUUCCCCCCCC
rnacentral:lncRNA from 1 species